UAGCAUGAAUAUGAAACUCAAAUGAAUUAUUAAUUUGUUUUCAAUGCAGCCGUUUAUAUAAUCCAAAUAUAAACUUUAAACGCUUUCACUUGAAUUAGUUUACUAGAACAGAUCGGAAAAUGCGGUUUUUAUCCAUUAACUUGACACGAGCAGGCCUGAGUUGAUGCGAGGUCACGUGACUGACUAUUCUACAAUAGACGCAAUUGCCGUGCUAGUUCAUAAAAUUAGUUAUCCAUGCCAUCGCUUUCCGCCAAUAGUACUUUAUUCGCGCUGACUGUUUAUGGUGAGUGGUUUCAAACACAGGUGGCUCGAGUGUAUUCAAUAAAACACCAUCGUUCAUUUUCGGCCAUGUCGCCAUCGUCGUCACAGCAAAGCCAGGCGAGAAGAUGCAUAUACUCCUCACAUACAGUUCUAUUACAUGAACCUAAAUAAGUCUUCAUAAAAGUUAAUAGCACACAUUCAACAAUCAUAUUUGAUAUUACGUAAAUGCGUGAAACAGCUGUAAAUAAUAUCUUAAUCAAAUCCAUUUUAUAUGACUUUUUAUUUAUCACCAAGGAACCGCUCCAUCUUCAGCCAGUUCAGAAUAUUUAACAUGCAGCCAUUUACAAGCAGACAAGGGGGAGGACUGUUUGUUACCUGAGACUUAACAAAGCUGUGGAGGUUCAGCAGCAAGCCUUUGGCCUCUGGAGUCAUCACUAGCACGGUGAAAUGGGCAUCCAACAGCAAGCAUACCCAAUCCAUGAUCUACAAUCAAAUGCAAA